CCAUGAAAUAUCACACGCAGAACUGAAACACCUUAUCUACAAGGAGGUCCUGGUGGCAACAGUGGAUUCAAUAGAGAAGAAAAUCAAUACAGCCCACAGAGAUUAAAAACAUCCGAGAAAGACUUAAGAAAAAAGUACUUUACCAUCUGCAAAAUAUGGAUUAUAUGACAUCAGACACUGUUCCUGGUAAUGGGCCCCUUGACAUGGAAAUGGGCAUCAAAGAAAUAGCACUUUAGCACUAUAAAUCAGAGCAUCAGCUAUGCAAACAAACAAACAAAAUCUUGGAAGCACCCUAAUUCAGAUCCAAGAAAUAAGUGCAAACAGAUUCUAAAAAGAAUGGAACAAGUUUAUGGUGAAGCAACAACAACCAUCAAAUCUUGCAAAAUAACUACCACCAAGGAGUUGUAUUGAGAGAAGUCAUGGUUCUUCAGACCAGUAUGAAAUACAGUUGGACAAGACUGAUUGUUUUACAUGGCACUUACUCCCAAGUAUGUGUAGAAAGAUUUAUUGCAGAUUUAUAGUGGAUUUAUAGCAUGUAUACAAAUGGUAUAGGCAAGAAAGUCAGAGCUGUUAUGAAAUAAAUAGCACCAGAGAAGUAGAAACUGAUAGAAAUUAUUUUUCAAAGCUAUGGUCCAUGUUCCAUGAAAACAGAAACACACACGAUCACUCUUAAGUUUGUUCUAUCCAAUAUCCAUAUUAUCCUGUGAGGUUUAUUGUGGGGGAGGGGAAUCUGCACAAAAAUCCACCUGUUUAAAACGUUUGAACAAAUACACCCGUCUUUUCUGAGGGAUUUUGGGAAUUGUGGACCAAAAAAGUAACUUUUACCAACUCUUCAUUUGCUGAAUAGUAUAACCCAAUGGGCAGUGACACUUUGAUCUGCACAUUUGUCCAGGAGGGGCAGAAUAGGUCAGUUUGUAUCAAAAUCUGCAAAGUUUGAAGGAUGGCAGACAGAACAGAAGCAGCUGUUGGGAUAUAUUUUGGAUAACCACCUUCUCUUGCUCUCCUAUGCCAUGCUCUUUUUCUUUAUCCUAGGAGAUAUUUUUCUCACAACAAUUCUCUAGGGAACUGCCAAAAACAGGUCAACCUACUGAAAAAGUAAUUGUGAAGCUUAUAAAAGUUUGAAAGGAAGGAGGAAAUUGAUUUAAGGAGAAUGCGGGACAGAGGAGCGAUCUGACAGCCAUCACUUCACACAAUUCUUUUGCUUUUGGGGGUAGCAUAGUCUGGGGAGGGAGAUGAGGAGAGAUCACUCCACACGAAUAUACAGAGGACAGAAGGCUUCAUGACAGUAUCAUGCUUGUAUUUCUGUGUCCUCAAAUUCUUCACUUUUUAUUUGGCCCUCCCUGUUGAUGUCUCAGGGGUUUUGUCCUAUAUGUUUGACUUGUGAAGUUCACCAAACCAGCAAACUGAGGCAUGCUCUGCAGAGUUCAUAGCCAGCUGUGGUUGCAAUGUUGCGCUAUCAUGAGCAUGACCAUUUUAUUUGGUAUGGGUCUCCUUGCUCUCAUUAGGGUGCUCACAGACACUAGAAUGUUUUCUGACAAGUAAGAAGCAUCAGAGUUCCAGUGACAUACUUGUCAAAUUUGACACAAUGGUGGGAGCUGUUUCAUUUUAUUCUUUAUUUAUUUCUACCUGCACAUGCUUCUGUUGUUUUUACUGACUCCCUUUUGCAGCAUGUC